rnacentral:rRNA from 1 species
CUAAGAAUAUUCCGCAAUGGACGGAAGUCUGACGGAGCGACGCCGCGUGGAUGACGAAGGCCGAAAGGUUGUAAAGUUCUUUUGCUGGGGAAGAAUAACCGCAGGAGGGAAUGCCUGUGGGAUGACAAGAACCGGCGAAUAAGCCCCGGCCAACUACGUGCCAGCAGCCGCGGUAACACGUAGGGGGCGAGCGUUGUUCGGAAUUACUGGGCGUAAAGGGCAUGUAGGCGGCUUGGAAAGCCUGGCGUGAAAGUCUGCAGCUUAACUGCAGGGGUGCGCUGGGAACUGCUGAGCUUGAGUGACGGAGAGGGAGCUGGAAUUCCUGGUGUAGGGGUGAAAUCUGUAGAUAUCAGGAAGAACACCGAUGGCGAAGGCAAGCUCCUGGCCGAUGACUGACGCUGAGGUGCGAAAGUGUGGGGAUCAAACAGGAUUAGAUACCCUGGUAGUCCACACAGUCAACGAUGUGCACUAGGUGCUGGGGCGGUAGCUUCGGUGCCGGAGCGAACGUGGUAAGUGCACCGCCUGGGGGAG